rnacentral:rRNA from 1 species
GACGAACGCUGGCGGCGUGCUUAACACAUGCAAGUCGAACGGAAAGGCCCUGCUUUUGUGGGUUGCUCGAGUGGCGAACGGGUGAGUAACACGUGAGUAACCUGCCCUUGACUUUGGGAUAACUUCAGGAAACUGGGGCUAAUACCGGAUAGGAGCUCCUGCUGCAUGGUGGGGGUUGGAAAGUUUCGGCGGUUGGGGAUGGACUCGCGGCUUAUCAGCUUGUUGGUGGGGUAGUGGCUUACCAAGGCUUUGACGGGUAGCCGGCCUGAGAGGGUGAACGGCGACAUGGGGACUGAGAGACGGCCCAGAAUCCUACGGGAGGCAGCAGGGGGGAAUAUGGCACAAUGGGCGGAAGCCUGAUGCAGAAACGCCGGGUGCGGGAUGACGGCCUUCGGGUGGUAAACCGAUUUCGACUGUGACGAAGCGUGAGUGACGGUAAUGGGUAAAGAAGCACCGGCUAACUACGUG